AGUGAACGCUGGCGGUAGGCCUAACACAUGCCAGUCGAACGGCAGCACAGUAAGAGCUUGCUCUUACGGGUGGCGAGUGGCGGACGGGUGAGGAAUACAUCGGAAUCUACUUUUUCGUGGGGGAUAACGUAGGGAAACUUACGCUAAUACCGCAUACGACCUACGGGUGAAAGCAGGGGAUCUUCGGACCUUGCGCGAUUGAAUGAGCCGAUGUCGGAUUAGCUAGUUGGCGGGGUAAAGGCCCACCAAGGCGACGAUGCGUAGCUGGUCUGAGAGGAUGAUCAGCCACACUGGAACUGAGACACGGUCCAGACUCCUACGGGAGGCAGCAGUGGGGAAUAUUGGGCAAUGGGCGCAAGCCUGAUCCAGCCAUACCGCGUGGGUGAAGAAGGCCUUCGGGUUGUAAAGCCCUUUUGUUGGGAAAGAAAAGCAGCAGGUUAAUACCCCGCUGUUCUGACGGUACCCAAAGAAUAAGCACCGGCUAACUUCGUG
rnacentral:rRNA from 1 species